UUUUUUUUUUUUUUUUUUUUUUGUAUGUUUGUUUUAGUAGAGAUGGGGAUCUUGCUCUGUUGCCCAGGUUGGCCUCUAACUCCUGGACUCAAGUAAUCCUCCCACCUCAGUAUCUCAAAGUGCUGGGAUUACAGGCAUGAGCCACCAAUCUAGCUUUUAUCUCUUUUUCUGACCUCAGGAAUUACAUUGGACCCACCUGAAAAGCCCAGGUUAAUAGCUUUAUUUCAAGAUCAGCUGGUUAGCAAACUUAAUUUCACCUGCUAGCUUAAUUCCCCUUGGUCAUGCAAUCUAAUGUAUUCAUAGGUCCCAGGAACAGAGCAUGGGUAUCUUUGAAGGGCAAUAUUGCGCCUAUUACAUUAUUUCCCAUAAGCAGAGACAAAUUUAAUUUUCACGUUAUAAAAUGAGGCUGGGUGCAGUGGCUCACACCUGCAAUCCUAGCACUUUGGGAGGCCAAGGCUGGCAGAUCAUCUGAGGUCAGGAGUUCAAGGCCAGCCUGGUCAACAUGGUGAAACCCCAUCUCUACUAAAAAUACAAAAAUGAGAUGGGCAUGGUGGCACAUGCCUGUAAUCCCAGCUACUUGGGAGCCUGAGGCAGGAGAAUUGUUUGAACCUGGGAGGCGGAAGUUUCAGUGAAACAAGAUUGAGUCACCGUAUUCCAGCCUGGGUGACAGAGCAAGACCCUGUCUCAAAUAAAAUAAAAUAAAAAAUAAAAAGUGUUACUACCAAUGACAUGUAUUCAAAGAAUUUAAAAGGGAUAUGUUUCAGAAAGAAAAGCAUGACCUCCUGAAAUAUCUGUGAUAUAAAGCAUGAAGAAAGGUUUUGUGAGUAAAUAAAAAUUUUAGAAAAAAAUGCAAGAUAAUUUAUGUAAAAUGCUCAUGACACUGGUAUCUAUUUGGAGGAAGUUAAAAAUAGACAUAAGUAAAAUAAUAGACCACAGUAGUAAUCUUGUGGUGAAUGAAUACGAUAUUUGAAUUAUUCGUAUAUUCGUAAGGCUGGUGUUAAGAUAACUUUACUAAUCAAAUUACUUCACUCAUGCAUGGUAAAAGGUGAAGUAUAUCUACUAAAAUAAUAAGAUUAAAUAUAUUUCUGAUAGAUGCAGGAGUCAGAUAGGGGAACCCACACAGGGUCUUGCCUGGGCAUGCCCACAAGGGACUGGGGGGUCUGCAUGUGCACUGGCAGAAUAAGGUGGAGCCACCAGGAAUUCACACCUUAGGGAGGGGAAGGAGCUGGGCCUCUUCAGCUCCUGUGUGGUGGCCAGGUAUUCAAUCUGUGAGGUGGGAGCCUAUUGGCUGGAACCCCUCUUAUUUGCUGAGAGCUUUCUUUUCAUAAAUUCCACUCUCCUCACCCUUCAGUGUGUCUGCGUGCCUAAUUUUUCCUAGUUGUGAGACAAGAACCAGGAUUUAACCAAACUAAGGAGCAAAAAAUUUUGCACCAAAUUUUAUACAGUACAGUGAAUAUGAGAAUUAAAGCCGACCACCAAAUAACAUAAGUAAGUAAAGAAAAAGAGCCAAAACUUUGUAGAUAAAUACAAAGAAAGUCAAAAUAUGGUCAAAGCCUAUGUAUCAAUAGUCACAAAACACUCUUUUAAAAGGUAGUAAAUCAUCAUUUUGGGUAUUAAAACAAACCAGAUAUAACAUACGCCUGUAUAUUUAAAAGGUACAUCUGAACUUACAUUACAGAAUUGUCAAAAGUUUUUCUGUGGCCAUGCAGUGGUUUGAAAACUAAUACGAAGGAAACAUAAGCAACUUUUAAUUAUAAAUUUUAUGUAUCAGUAAAUACGAAAAGGACUGUUACGAUUUGAAUUAUGUGCCCCUGAAAUGCAUAUGUUGAAGUCCUAAACCUCAGUACCUCAGGAUGUGAACCUGUAUGGGAAUGAAAUAAAUCUCACAUGUAAUUAAUUCAAUUAUG
rnacentral:lncRNA from 1 species